GCGCGGUUGGCCUAGUGGUCUAACGCAUCACUCGAUUUGUGGGUUGAAAACCCCAGUGAACCUCUUUCAAAGACCGACUCUGGGGGGAAGCUCGUUCAAGUGUAGUGUCUAAUACUGAGUGAAGACCCGGGUUCGAAUCCCGGACCGCGCA
rnacentral:tRNA from 1 species